rnacentral:rRNA from 1 species
UACGUAGGGAGCAAGCGUUGUUCGGAUUUACUGGGCGUAAAGGGCGCGUAGGCGGCGCGGUAAGUCACUUGUGAAAUCUCUGAGCUUAACUCAGAACGGCCAAGUGAUACUGCAGUGCUAGAGUGCAGAAGGGGCAAUCGGAAUUCUUGGUGUAGCGGUGAAAUGCGUAGAUAUCAAGAGGAACACCAGUGGCGAAGGCGAGUCCCUGGACGAUACCUGACACUGAGGCACGAAAGCCAAGGGAGCAAACAGG